rnacentral:rRNA from 1 species
GAAAACGAAACUAACAAGGAUUCCCCUAGUAACGGCGAGCGAAGCGGGAAGAGCUCAAAUUUGAAAUCUGGUGGCCUCAGGUCAUCCGAGUUGUAAUCUAUAGAAGUGUUUUCCGUGCUGGCCCAUGUACAAGUCCCUUGGAACAGGGCGUCAUAGAGGGUGAGAAUCCCGUCCUUGACAUGGACUACCAGUGCUCUGUGAUACACUUUCAACGAGUCGAGUUGUUUGGGAAUGCAGCUCAAAAUGGGUGGUAAAUUCCAUCUAAAGCUAAAUAUUGGCGAGAGACCGAUAGCGAACAAGUACCGUGAGGGAAAGAUGAAAAGCACUUUGGAAAGAGAGUUAAACAGUAUGUGAAAUUGUUGAAAGGGAAACGAUUGAAGUCAGUCGUGCUCAAUGGACUCAGCCGUUCUGCGGUGUAUUUCCAUUGGGUGGGGUCAACAUCAGUUUUGAUCGCUGGAUAAAGGCAGGAGGAAUGUAGCACCCCCGGGUGAACUUAUAGCCUCUUGUCACAUACAGUGGUUGGGACUGAGGAACGCAGCAUGCCUUUAUGGCCGGGAUUCGUCCACGUACAUGCUU